rnacentral:rRNA from 1 species
GCCUACGGGGCGCAGCAGUGAGGAAUAUUGGUCAAUGGGCUUACGCCUGAACCAGCCAAGUCGCGUGAGGGAAGACUGCCCUAUGGGUUGUAAACCUCUUUUGUCAGGGAGCAACGCCGGCUACGUGUAGCCGGACUGAGAGUACCUGAAGAAAAAGCAUCGGCUAACUCCGUGCCAGCAGCCGCGGUAAUACGGAGGAUGCGAGCGUUAUCCGGAUUUAUUGGGUUUAAAGGGUGCGUAGGCGGAAUGCCAAGUCAGCGGUAAAAUCGCGGGGCUCAACCUCCAUCCGCCGUUGAAACUGGCGU